GAUCCUGGCUCAGGAUGAACGCUGGCGGCGUGCUUAACACAUGCAAGUCGAACGAUUAAACUGGCUUCGGCCAGAUAUAGAGUGGCGAACGGGUGAGUAACACGUGACCAACCUGCCCCGCGCUCCGGGACAACCGCUGGAAACGGCGGCUAAUACCGGAUGCUCCGGGGAGGCCCCAUGGCCUCCCCGGGAAAGCCUUAACGGCGCGGGAUGGGGUCGCGGCCCAUUAGGUAGACGGCGGGGUAACGGCCCACCGUGCCCGCGAUGGG
rnacentral:rRNA from 1 species